rnacentral:piRNA from 1 species
UUUUAGUAGAGAUGGGGUCUCUCUCUGUUGC